GCCUGGCGGGCUCAGCUGAUAGAGCGUGCGGCUCUUGAUCUCAGGGUCGUGAGUUCGAGUCCCACACUGGGCA
rfam:Ailuropoda melanoleuca scaffold317_12, whole genome shotgun sequence.